UGGGGAAUAUUGGGCAAUGGGCGCAAGCCUGACCCAGCAACGCCGCGUGAGGGAAGAAGGUUUUCGGAUUGUAAACCUCUGUCGCAGAAGACGAAGGAAGUGACGGUAAUCUGUGAGGAAGCCCCGGCUAACUACGUGCCAGCAGCCGCGGUAAUACGUAGGGGGCAAGCGUUAUCCGGAAUUAUUGGGCGUAAAGAGUGCGUAGGUGGUUACCUAAGCAGGGGGUGAAAGGCACUGGCUUAACCAAUGUCAGCCCCCUGAACUGGGCUACUUGAGUGCAGGAGGGGAAAGCGGAAUUCCUAGUGUAGCGGUGAAAUGCGUAGAUAUUAGGAGGAACACCAGUGGCGAAGGCGGCUUUCUGGACUGUUACUGACACUGAGGCACGAAAGUGUGGGGAGCAAACAGGAUUAGAUACCCUGGUAGU
rnacentral:rRNA from 1 species